GCUACCACCUUCUUUAUCAACAGCUAACCAAUUUGAGAUUCAUGAUUAAUUAUGUACACAAAAAUAUUUUCCUUGUAGAAAAUAGUUUUCCAGACACUUAGCCUUCUGAAGUGCUCAUCUCUUGCUUAAAUGAUAGUCUAUUUAGUAGUUUAAAAUAAAAAUAAUCACUCCCUAUGAUCUAGUUAAUGUAAUUAUCCAGUCACUGUAACUAAUCUCUUGAAGGGACUUUUGUGAUAAAGAGCCAAGUUCAGAAGCAUAGCGUGUACCGAAAAUGAAGACUCUCCUAUCUACUGCUACAGAUCCUGUUGAAGAAAGAGCUUACCCCUUUCCCCCGGAAAACUUGCAAUCCUGUAGUUCCCAUAUGUGUGGCAUAUGUCAGUUAUGAAAUUAUUAUAAUUCAGCCUUCAAACUACUACUGAUCAACUAAAGGAAAGCUAAUAAGGUAUUUCUUUUAAACAAGUAUUCUGGAAAAGUAAUAACUAUGGCACAAAUGUUCAGGAGUGUAUAUAAAAAUAUGUGGGCUCUCGAUUUAUUUGAGCAAACAUUGCAAUGAGGGUGUUCAUUAUGCUUCUAAGUAAGCUUUAACUAGACCACUUUCUUCUUAUGUCAGAUUGUGCUGGUUCUAGCUCAUAAUAAUGAAAAAAAUAGAAUUAUAUUUUGUAUGAAUUGUUUCUAACAAACCUUGAUCUGUAUAUACUUGUGAGGGGUUGUUUGGUUGCCUAAUUGUUGAUUGGUUGGUUAGUUGGGCAAAAUCAUUUAUUACAUGCAAAAAUAGAAAAUUAUUUGUUAAAUUCAGAGAAAAUAUGUGAAGUUUACAAAGGAACCAAAAUGAUAAUGGGAGAAUUUAGUCUUAAAAGUUUAGGUUGUCAGAGUUUAUCUGAUAUACAAAAAAGUAGGAUCAAAGUCUAGGAACAAACAUUGGUUAUUUCACUGAAACAGAUUUUUAAAGAGCAUAUUAAGAAAUUAAGACCAUUAGAUCAUCUCUUUCAUAAUGAUAUGAUGUUAUUUCCAUUGACGGCAAAUCUAUACUGUUCCUUGGUUUUAGAGUUGGGUAUUCUUUCAAAAGUGAAUUUAGGCACAUGCAUGUACAUUGUAUUUAUAAAGAUUAUAUAUGUAGUUUCCAAGGAAGAAACAAAGACCUAUACAGUUUAGACUUUAUUUGUUUGGUGAACGUGCUGUUGUGUUUGGCAUAGCUAGAGAAAUGUAAGGUAAAAGGCUCACUUUGUUUUCCAGUGGGUCCAGAGUCUUCUCUAUACCCAACAUAUGUUUACUUUAUGAACUUAAAUGGAAAUUAAUUUAUUGUAGACUACAUCUCUAUUUGGAAUGAUGAGGUAAAUGUAUACCUUAGCAUUUUCUUUAACAAAAAUGUUCUGUGUGUCAGGAAAGAGGUGUGAGAGUGGUAGGCAGCCUGCCGCAAACACACGGAUGGCUCCCCCCGCCACGAAGGUUGAGAACAAAGCCAGGGGGCCCAGAGGAGCAAUAGCCCUGGGCCACAAGCGUGGGUAGGCCUUUCACGUAUUCCGUCUGCACAGGCAACCAAGGCCAGUAGAAAGCUAUGGCUGCAAAACCCUGGGGUGGACGAUGUUUGAUGAUUAGACGGUCAUCUCUAACUACUAAACUAAUAUCUGCAUUCUUGUUAACAUAAAUCUCUCCUUGGCUAUUUUAAUAGCCACAGUCCCAAACUUCAUCCCAGCUUAGAUUUCUCAGCACUGAGGUAAACUCUGCAUUGUCAUCCCAGCGUACACCUUUAAUGUUUUAUUGAUUUCACUGGCACUGUAUUUGGACCUGUCCUUGUAUAUGUAGAGACAUAUGUGGCUUCAUUGGUAAUUUACAAGCAAAAGAUGACAUGACGUGACACCUGUAUGAAAAUGUGAUGAUUGAACUCCCUGUGUACAGCGAGUGAAUUAAAAUGUCUGCCUCUCCAGACAUUUCUUAAUGAUUCCACUUAAUAGACUCUAUGUGUGCUGAAUGUUCCUGUGUACAUAUGUGUGUUAAAUAAAACAAUUGUAUUGAAGACUGUUUUUCUCACAAUAUUACCUUUUCCAGUGUUCACUCAUCUUAAACAUCCUCAGUUGAAAUCCGUAUGCUCCGCUAGCCCUGCUGCUUCUAAUCAUUCAUUUCCCUGGAGAGCUGGCUUGGGAAAGGCAACUUAUUCCCAGAGGACAGUAGAGCAGAAGUGCAGAGAAUCCUGGAAUGGCUGUUCCCAGGCUUUUUUCAAAGCAAGUGGAUCUGAGCGGGGCAAAGGGUGAAGGCAGGGGACACUGUGGUAUGCAUUCACUCCCCCAGGUACUGGG
rnacentral:lncRNA from 1 species